GGCGCAGCUGCGCUGCUCCUUGCAUUCGCUCAGCCCGCAGGGCAGGUUGCAGCCUCUCUGCGCAUGGCCAGCUGCCGCCAUCUUGGAUUAAGCUGUCGUUCGCAGUGUCUCUGCACACUGCCCGAGCGGCGUCAGGCGCAGCCAUUUUUCAGGAGGAACUCUUGGUCUGAAGGGCCUGUUUGAGGCCACUGCAUGGAACACCCUUGAGCAAGUGAAACUAGAUUAAUCACAAAGGACAAGAAGGUACAAUUAUAGCCUUGCUCUCUAGCAGUUUAGAAAACAGGAUGUUGGUCAAUAAAAAUGCCAGUUAAACUGUCAUUUCCAGGAGGAUGGAGACUAUCUUCUUUCUGUAUUCCUGGAACAUAGAAUAGCAUAGUUUCCAGUAUAAAGUAAGUAUGUGACACAUUUGUUUACUCAUUGACUCAUUUUUAUUGAGUACCUACUAUGUUCCUACUGUUUCUAAAUGCUGGGGAUAUAGAAAUAAAGAAGAGGAAAAGUUUCUGCUCUUAUUGUGUUAUAUUCUACACUGGAGUGUGUGGCCAUUCCCUUCUCCAGGGAAUCUUCCCAAUCCAGGGACGGAACCUGGGUCUCCCGCAUUGUGGGCAGUUUGUUUACCAUCUGAGCCACCAGGGAAGCCCAUGUUAUAUUCUAGUAGGUAAUAAUCAAUAAAAAAAUAAAACACACUGUGUAUACUUUGAGAGAAAAUAAAAAUUUAGGCUGCAUAAUGGAUGGAAAGUGACGCAUAUGAGGCACUACCAGAUAUGGGAUGGUUAUAGUAGAAGCUGUGCUGUGCCACCCAGAUCUCCCUUCAGGAAGGGAUGCUCAUUCC
ensembl:lncRNA